rnacentral:lncRNA from 1 species
GAUUGAACUCAGGGGCACUUGACCACUGAGCCACAUCCCCAGUCCUAUUUUGUAUUUUAUUUAGAGACAAGGUCUCACUGAGUUACUUAGCACCUCACUUUUGCUGAGGCUGGCUUUGAACUUGCCAUCCUCCUGCCUCAGCCUCCCAAAACGUUGGGAUUACACACAGGCACCACUGUGCCUGGCCCAAACCUUUUAAUUUUGAGACAGUGUCUCACUAAGUUCCCUAGGCUGACCUCAAACUUGCAAUCCUCCUAUGUCAACCUCCCCAGCUGCUGGGAUUACAGGCAGUGCCAUGGCACAUGACGCUAGAAAACUUUAAAGGAAACGCAAAAUGUAGAGGUAGGAUUAGUAAGCCAGCAAAGGAAAUAUAAAAUUAACCACCCCCAAAUUAACUAACCCCACACAAAUAUCUCCCACUGGUUUUCUUUUUUUAAAACAUAAGAGCAAAACUAAUUCAAUGGAGGAAGUAGAGUCUUCAAAUAUGGUGCUGGAGCAACCAGAAUCUAUAGGCGAAUGUCCACUCCAGAAUCUUUAUGUAACCCCACAUUUUAUACAAGAAUUAGCUCUAAAUGGAUCAAUUUAAAUGUAAAGCAUAAGACUAGAAAAUCUUUGAAAAUAAUAUGAGAAAAUCUUUGCACUGAGUGGAGUGUCCUUGGAUAGGAUACUGGAAACAUUAUCCACCGAAAACAACAGAGUAAACUAGGACUCAUUGAAAUUACAACUCUUGCUCUGCAAGACCCAUGGAAAGGAUGAAAAGACAAGCUGGGAGAAAACACCUGCAAAACGCUAGUGCAACCAAGGCUUUAGAUCCAGAAUGCAAUCAAGACUCGGCAGUAAGAAGUCAAAUAGAAACUGAGCCACAUCCGGAAGAGCUACUUGGAAGCCUGAGGCAGGAGGAUCACAAAUUCCAGGUAAGCAAUUCUCAAAAAGGGCUGAGGAUAUUAGCUCA